rnacentral:rRNA from 1 species
UACGUAGGGUGCAAGCGUUGUCCGGAAUUAUUGGGCGUAAAGAGCUCGUAGGCGGUCUGUCGCGUCGGCUGUGAAAACUCGGGGCUCAACUCCGAGCUUGCAGUCGAUACGGGCAGGCUAGAGUUCGGCAGGGGAGACUGGAAUUCCUGGUGUAGCGGUGAAAUGCGCAGAUAUCAGGAGGAGCACCGGUGGCGAAGGCGGGUCUCUGGGCCGAUACUGACGCUGAGGAGCGAAAGCGUGGGGAGCGAACAGG